AUUAAAAAAAAGGGGUGAAAAGAACAAAGUUUUGUCCAUCUUUGUUCAUCAUAGCCUAAAGUUAGAGAAGAGAAAGGAGAUGAGAAAGAUCUUGAAUGUUCGGUCACUUGGGGAAGAAAAUUGAAGGCAGUUCGUGUGUGGAUCUCGUCAGCAUAUCAUCGCAAACAGGAAAUCCCCAACCAUAGUGGGCUUGGAGCUGUGAGGGAAUUCGGAGUGGCCACCCGUUCUGAAAGUCUGGUUUUCUUCUGGUGAACUGGACAUCCUAUUAUUUACGUUGAGGUUUGGGUUUUUAAAUGUAAUAAGGCUGCUUAAUUAUUUUUGAUGGUUUUAAUAUGUAUUACUAAGAUAGGUAUUACUUA